rnacentral:rRNA from 1 species
UACAGAGGUCUCAAGCGUUGUUCGGAAUUACUGGGCGUAAAGGGUGCGCAGGCCGCGCGGGCAGUCAAAUGUGUAAUCCAGGGGCUCAACCCCUGAACUGCGCUUGAUACUUCCGCGCUCGAGCUUUGGAGAGGAGUCUGGAAUUCUCGGUGUAGCAGUGAAAUGCGUAGAGAUCAUGAGGAAGACCAGUGGCGAAGGCGGGUCGCUGGACAGU